rnacentral:rRNA from 1 species
GUGGGGAAUAUUGCGCAAUGGGGGAAACCCUGACGCAGCAACGCCGCGUGAGUGAGGAAGGACUUCGGUCUGUAAAGCUCUGUUAAUGUGGAAAAAUGGUAGUUGGUCUAAUAGGCCGAUUAUUUGAUGGUACACAUAGAGGAAGCACCGGCUAACUUCGUGCCAGCAGCCGCGGUAAUACGAAGGGUGCAAGCGUUGUUCGGAUUUAUUGGGCGUAAAGCGCGCGUAGGCGGACCUGCAAGUCAGAUGUGAAAUCUCGGGGCUCAACCUCGAAACUGCGUCUGAAACUACAGGUCUAGAAUCUCGGAGGGGGAAGGGGAAUAUCGCAUGUAGGGGUAAAAUCCGUAGAUAUGCGAUGGAACACCAGAGGCGAAGGCGCCUUCCUGGACGAGUAUUGACGCUGAGGCGCGAAAGCGUGGGGAUCAAACAGGAUUAGAUACCCCUGUAGUCC